AAAAUGGCACUUUCAUUAGGAUAAUAUCUAUGUUGUACUCUCAAGUGUACAUGAAAAGCUGAGGAGCAUUUGCUGGAAAAUAAGUUGGGAAACAUUCCCACUGGACAAACACAGGGAAAAGGAAAAGAUUAAUCUGAAGCAGUUGCCUGCUGGAAGGGUGCAGAUGCUCUAACAACGGAGCUGCUACAUGAAGGUUCUUGAUAAUAUUUUUCCAAGCAAUAUUUAGAAGAAUUAAGAGACCUCUAGUAUGACUUUAUGGGCAGCUUUAUUCUGAAGCCAUUCUAUGAACAUUUUCAAAUGUUCCAGAACAAAUACAAAGUGCCCUUCUGAGACAUGUCAUCAGGAACAGAUGUUAAUGAGCCCAGACAAUCAGUGUGCCGCAGGACCAGACAACCAAUCUCUUGUAACUGUAGGGGAUGGGCUUGUUCAAGCAUGCACAGGAAAGAUCUUUACCUCUGAAUCCUAGCUGAGGGCAGGCUGCCUCCAGACAGGAAGAAACUGGCUUCCCAAUGUUCAUCUAGGGGUGCUUCCUGCCUUACAGCUCUUCUUGUGUGUUCUUCACUCCACUUUAAAGCAGCGUUAGGGGUUUUCAUCCAUGCCAGCACAACCAAAUGUUCAUUGAAGACAGUAGGCACCCUUCACUGGUACUACCUGAUGCCUUUACAGUCAGCAUCCAACCCCACAGCACUCGAAAAUGAGGUUCUCUGCAAGUCUUACAGGUUUGUUUUCUUAGCAAGAACAUUACUGUUCCAAAACAAAGGGAAAAUACGACGAGCGUGGAUGGUUGUAUACGUGUAAGUUAAAAAACCCUGACCAAUAAAGAGUGAAAUAAACUGCAUGUUAUAUCCUGGACUACAGCCAACUAAAUCACCCCUGAUUAUUCCUGACAUCAGCCUCUGGGAUUCCUUCUUUUCUCCUGAACU